rnacentral:tRNA from 1 species
GCGGGUGUAGCUCAAUGGCUAGAGCUUCAGCCUUCCAAGCUGAAGAUGCGGGUUCGAUUCCCGUCACCCGCU